GACGAACGCUGGCGGCGUGCUUAACACAUGCAAGUCGAACGGAAAGGCCCUGCUUUUGUGGGGUGCUCGAGUGGCGAACGGGUGAGUAACACGUGAGUAACCUGCCCUUGACUUUGGGAUAACUUCAGGAAACUGGGGCUAAUACCGGAUAGGAGCUCCUGCUGCAUGGUGGGGGUUGGAAAGUUUCGGCGGUUGGGGAUGGACUCGCGGCUUAUCAGCUUGUUGGUGGGGUAGUGGCUUACCAAGGCUUUGACGGGUAGCCGGCCUGAGAGGGUGACCGGCCUCAAUACUACUGAGAUACGGCACAGACUCCUGCGGGAGGCAGCAGUGGGUAAUACUGCACAAGGGGCGGAAGCCUGAUGCAGCAACGCCGCGUGCGGGAUGACGGCCGUCGAGUUGUAAACCGAUUUCGCCUGUGACGAAGCGUGAGUGACGGUAAUGGGUAAAGAAGCACGGGCUAACUACGUG
rnacentral:rRNA from 1 species